rnacentral:rRNA from 1 species
UACGUAGGCAGCAAGCGUUGUUCGGAGUUACUGGGCGUAAAGGGCGCGUAGGCGGCCCGCUAAGCCGAACGUGAAAUCCCCAGGCUCAACCUGGGAACUGCGUCCGAUACUGGCAGGCUUGAAUCCGGGAGAGGGAUGUGGAAUUCCAGGUGUAGCGGUGAAAUGCGUAGAUAUCUGGAGGAACACCGGUGGCGAAGGCGGCAUCCUGGACCGGUAUUGACGCUGAGGCGCGAAAGCUAGGGGAGCAAACGGG